GUGAAUGGAGGUAAGGUAAAAAGUUAAAAUAAUACUAUAUUUUUACUUUAUUUGUAAGUAUUGUUUGAAUAUGUUUAACAAAUUUGUAUUUAAAUAUAGAAAUGCAUAGAAUAAAAAGGUAUCAUCUCUAUUGUGACUGAUGCAUACCAUAUGGAACUAUUUAAUAUUAACAUACAUUUCACUUUAAUAAUCUAUCAUGAUCCUAAUCUUAGAAUAAAACUCAAGAAUUUUAUAAUAACAAUUUGUAUCAUUUUAUUUGCUUCCAUGGAAUUGACAACAUAUGGCAAAGGGCCUACUUUUCAGAAUAUUAAGGAUACAUUAUUGUUCCGCUUGGACUGCAGCUCUUAUCACUGGAAACCUGCUUUUUGGUCUGAAUUUCUGAAGAACCAGAGAAUCCUUAGAGAGAGAAAGAGACAGACCAAAAAAUGGAAAAAUAAAAUCUAUGCUCUACUGAAAAGAACGUUUUUUGUUUGGUUAAAUAAUCUACAGGAUUUUGUGCUAGAAAAAUAAAGUCAGGCACAUAACAGCUGGUUAAUGGCAAGACCAAGACUAAAGACUGAAACUCAGGCCAUUGGACCUCUGCUUACUAUUAACCCACAUUUGGAAAGACAGAAUCUUCUAGAUCCCUUUGGCACUGUGCCUCAGGCCUCUCCCAGUCAACAGCCAGAGAACAUUGUUCAUUUGGGAUAGAGAGGAAAAGGAUGUUGAAUCCAUGGAGUGGAGAACACUGCCAAACUGCCAUUUUUUCCUCUCUUCUUUCUUUGGGUGUAAGACUUCAUUGACAUGAAAAGUAUAAAUAAUGUCCUGAGAGAUUCUGGUUGAUUUUGUCUUAGGGCUUAAGAUUUGGCCAACUUGCUGCUAAGCGUGACCAAAACAGAUUUGAAUGGAAUCCUGUCGAAAGUGGCGAUGAUACAAAGCUUAUUAAAAAGAUUUUGGCAAGGAGCACCUGGGUGGCUCAGUUGGUUGAGCUUCAGCAGUUCAUGAGUUUGAGCCCUGCAUCCGGCUCACUGCUUUCAGUGCUGAAGCUGUCAGCUCUGAGCCGACUUGGGAUCCUCUGUCCCCCGCCUCUCUCUUCCCCUCCCCAACUUGGGCUCUCACUAAAAUAAUAAAAAUAAAAAUUGGUAAAA